GAUGAACGCUGGCGGCGUGCUUAACACAUGCAAGUCGAACGGUGAAGCAGAGCUUGCUCUGUGGAUCAGUGGCGAACGGGUGAGUAACACGUGAGCAACCUGCCCUGGACUCUGGGAUAAGCGCUGGAAACGGCGUCUAAUACUGGAUACGAGACGUGGCCGCAUGGUCAACGUUUGGAAAGAUUUUUUGGUUCAGGAUGGGCUCGCGGCCUAUCAGCUUGUUGGUGAGGUAAUGGCUCACCAAGGCGUCGACGGGUAGCCGGCCUGAGAGGGGGACCGGCCACACUGGGACUGAGACACGGCCCAGACUCCUACGGGAGGCAGCAGUGGGGAAUAUUGCACAAUGGGCGAAAGACUGAUGCAGCAACGCCGCGUGAGGGAUGACGGCCUUCGGGUUGUAAACCUCUUUUAGCAAGGAAGAAGCGAAAGUGACGGUACUUGCAGAAAAAGCGCCGGCUAACUACGUGCCAGCCGCCGCCGUAACAC
rnacentral:rRNA from 1 species